rnacentral:rRNA from 1 species
GAUCUACCCAUGACCAGUGUGAAGCGAUGGUAAGACGUCGUGGAGGCGCGAACCCACUUAGGUUGAAAACUGAGGGGAUGAGUUGUGGGUAGGGGUGAAAGGCCAAUCAAACUUCGUGAUAGCUGGUUCUCCCCGAAAUGCAUUUAGGUGCAGCGUCGUGUGUUUCUUCAUGGAGGUAGAGCUACUGGUUGGUUUAGCGGGACUACUAUCUUAGCGACAUCAGCCAAACUCCGAAUACUGUGAAGUGAGAGCACGGCAGUGAGACAGCGGGGGAUAAGCUUCGUUGUCGAGAGGGAAACAGCCCAGAUCGCCGGUUAAGGCCCCUAAGAGUGUACUAAGUGGAAAAGGAUGUGGGAUCGCUUAGACAGCCAGGAGGUUGGCUUAGAAGCAGCCAUCCUUGAAAGAGUGCGUAAUAGCUCACUGGUCGAGUGGUUUUGCGCCGACAAUGUAGUGGGGCUCAAGUACACCGCCGAAGCCGCGGAACUCAACACGUUGUGUGUUGGGUUGGUAGGGGAGCGUCGUGUGAUCCGUUGAAGGUGCGGGGUAACCCAGUGCUGGAGGUUAUGCGAGUGAGAAUGCAGGCAUGAGUAGCGAAUGAUGAGUGGGAAACUCAUCCGCCGGAUGACUAAGGGUUCCUGGGUCAAGUUAAUCUUCCCAGGGUGAGUCGGGGCCUAAGGCGAGGCCGACAGGCGUAGUCGAUGGUUAACGGGUUGAUAUUCCCGUACCCGUAUGUGUGCGACCAAUGGUGAAGCAGUGAUACUAACCGCCCUGAACGAUGCUUCAUGCACUUUGUGUGUGUUGUGUUGGGAUGCGUGGGACCUGAUCUGUUGUAGUCAAGCGAUGGGGUGACGCAGGAAGGUAGCCGAGCCACUGAUUGGAUUGUGGUGUAAGCGUGUGGCCCGCUGUAUUGGUAAAUCCGUACAGCUUGUGGGUGAGGCGUGAUGCGUACCCGUUUGUGGGGAUGUUGGUGAUCCUAUGCUGUCGAGAAAAGCCUCUAGUGAGUGCAUGUAUGGCCCGUACCGUAAACCGACACAGGUGGUCAGGUAGAGAAUACUAAGGCGAUCGGGUGAACUGUGGUUAAGGAAUUCGGCAAAAUGCCCCCGUAACUUCGGGAGAAGGGGGGCCACUGCUGGUGAACGACGUGUUGAGCUGGUGGUGGUCGCAGAGAGUAGAGGGAAGCGACUGUUUACUAAAAACACAGGUCCGUGCGAAGACGGUUAAGUCGAUGUAUACGGACUGACGCCUGCCCGGUGCUGGAAGGUUAAGAGGACCCGUUAG